rnacentral:lncRNA from 1 species
AGGCUCAGGGAAUUAUGCUGAAGACUGAUACACAUCACAGAGAAGAGUAGAUAUACUGCUUUGAUUGAGGCCAUUGGGCAAAUUAAUUGAAUAAAUUUAUCAAAGAUGUAUCAGGAUCUUGAUUAUAGCGUAUCCUGCUCACCCAAUUGUGUGCUCACUGAAACCCAUUUUAAACUUGUCUGUGGCUUCUCAGCAUAGUUAGAUAAGCAACUUCAACUUAUCUGUGGACUGCUGAAGACAUUGCUGUAGGAAAGAUGUGUGCAAGAAAUACAAUGGCUUUGCUGCCAUUAAAAACUUUAUGACAAGAUCCACUCUCCACCCUUUUCUAUCCUGUGAAUUGAAUUGAUUACUUCAAAAGACUCCUUGUUUGCCAUCCAGUUGGAUUUGGUCAAUGGGGAGCCCUGACAGUACAAGAGACAAAAUCUAGGAAGUUUGGGUCCUAAGGAGCGUGGCAGCACUGCUAUGUCUGGAAUUUUCUUAUAAAUAUCCCCUCACUCUGAGGCUCGCAGGCCUGGCUGGAACAGCAGGGACAAUCUCAUUGGCACUUUUAUGGCUGUG